AUCCACGUGGCGUCCAAGUGUCAUCUCGUCCAAGUGUCAUCUCCUUAUUUAUCCACGUGUCACUUAACGUCCACUUUAUCUUUUUAUUUGUCCAUUCUACCACCACUAGCAAUCACCACCACUGUGAACUACUUAGACAAUCCAAUUCAGCUCUAUCCACGCAUUAAAGUUUCACAAUCAAAGAUUUCCCUCUUUUUUCAAUCCUCAUCCCUUACUACUGUAAGUGUUUUUCUUCUUUAACUCCGGCUUCCAACAAUGACCGAUUUACAAGAAGGUAACAACGGCAACAAUGGAGUUGAGCAGUGGCGGUAGGAACGACAAUGACGGCGACAACAAGGAUGAGGCUGUGUUCUUCUUAGAUGAAAUAAAGGAGGGGAUCGCAUUGAGCUACGUUGGGAGGUGGAGUCGUCAUUACACUCACUAGUUGUAAUUGGUUAUAACUGUAAUAAUGUGAUGAAAUUUUGUAAUAAUAGCAUUGCAAAAGGGGAAGGAGAGGGUUGGGUUAGCUGAGGGACAGAAGUUGCUGCGCUGCAAGAAGGGAAAAAAUGGUGGGUCAACAUUGGGAAGAAGGAAACAGGGUAAUUGUAGUGGCGCCGAGCGGAGAUGGAAGUGGUGGUGGAGGAUGGGUCGAUAGCCAUGUUCCCCUUUCACCUUUUCUCUUAAUAUAGCUCCCUCAUUGCUCUUAAUAUAAGCCAACACAUUGGCUCAUGGGGAGGACAGAGCAGUGAUGGAGUGGGAGAAUAUUGACGGAGAAAAAAGAGCAGUGGUGGGGGUUGGUAAAGGGAGGACAAUAGCCUAUUUUUCCUUCUUUUCUUUCAAAAAUUAAAAUAUUAAAAAUUAAAAAAAAUCAAGGGUAAAACGGGUAUUUUUAUUUAAAAUUUGAUGACAUAAGCUAGUUCCAUCCAUUUCACUAACGGAAAUGUUAUUAUGUUUCAAGGAAGGCCAGUGUCAUUUUUCAAUACAAGUGGGGCUAGGUGUAAUUUAGGCAAUUAUCAAGGGAGGUUCGGUGUAACUGGCCCUUUAUGUUAAGUUACUGAAAAGAAAUAACUGUUCAAUCAUAUUUUUUCAGACUUCGUAGAACAAUUGCCCAUAAAGAAUCAAGGCUUGGCUUGCUUGUCCUGAGGGGCUCUACAAAGCAAUUGCAUUAUAGUUUGAACCCCCCACAGAUGCAUUUUAACUCUCGUAUAACCCAAAAUGGCAAUUAUCAAUAAACAGAUAAAAAUAUAACAGGACAGUAUAGAUAGAUAUCGAGCGCAAAAACUAAGCAGGAACCAAAAACAAUUCCAGUGUCAAGUCAAACAAUACAACUACAAUCUUAUCCAAAACAUACAUACAUACAUACAUAUAUAUAUACACACACACACACACUAACUAACUAGAAUGAGAGACACAAA